rnacentral:rRNA from 1 species
CACCGCGGUUAUACGAGAGGCCCAAGUUGACAGAUACCGGCGUAAAGAGUGGUUAAGGAUUAGACUGACUAAAGCCGAACAUCCCCCUGGCUGUUAUACGCACUCGGAGGAAUGAAGCCCCACUACGAAAGUGGCUUUAUUAUACCUGAACCCACGACAACUAAGAAA